rnacentral:lncRNA from 13 species
AUGGUGAGGAUGAGGAGGGUUAGAGGUAGAGGACAGUAUUACAUGGUGAGGAUGAGGAGGGUUAGAGGUAGAGGACAGUAUUACAUGGUGAGGAUGAGGAGGGUUAGAGGAGGACAGUAUUACAUGGUGAGGAUGAGGAGGGUUAGAGGUAGAGGACAGUAUUACAUGGUGAGGAUGAGGAGGGUUAGAGGUAGAGGACAGUAUUACAUGGUGAGGAUGAGGAGGGUUAGAGGUAGAGGACAGCAUUACAUGGUGAGGAUGAAGAGGGUUAGAGGUAGAGGACAGCAUUACAUGGUGAGGAUGAAGAGGGUUAGAGGUAGAGGACAGCAUUAUAUGGUGA